GACGAACGCUGGCGGCGUGCUUAACACAUGCAAGUCGAACGGAAAGGCCCCCAUCUUGGUGGGGGUGCUCGAGUGGCGAACGGGUGAGUAACACGUGGGUGAUCUGCCCUGUACUUCGGGAUAAGCUUGGGAAACUGGGUCUAAUACCGGAUAGGACCAUGGUUUAGUGUCUCAUGGUGGAAAGAUUAUUGUUUUGGUGCAGGAUGAGCUCGCGGCCUAUCAGCUUGUUGGUGGGGUAAUGGUCUACCAAGGCGUCGACGGGUAGCCGGCCUGAGAGGGUGGACGGCCACAUUGGGACUGAGAUACGGCCCAGACUCCUACGGGAGGCAGCAGUGGGGAAUAGUGCACAAUGGGCGCAAGCCUGAUGCAGCGACGCCGCGUGGGGGAUGACGGCCUUCGGGUUGUAAACUCCUUUCGUUAGGGACGAAGCCACGCUUUUGGGGUGUGGUGACGGUACCUUUGUUAAGAAGCACCGGCUAACUACGUG
rnacentral:rRNA from 1 species